UACAAAUGAAUACUAAUAAUUUUUAUUUAUUGUAAUUUUAAAAUAUAGCAACACAAAAAGCAUUAAACCUAAAAAAUUUGUUUUUUUUAUGAUUGAGUAAAAUUUUUCCGUAUCCAUAAAAUUAGUCAAAAUUAGUCAUUAACGUUUGCUUUAUUAUAUUUACAUCAAAAAAAAAGGAUAAUUGUACAGUUAACUUGAUUCAACGUGCUACACAAAAGAAUAAAUAAACUUUACAUUUCAGUUGUUCACGUCUGUUUCAAAUCUAUACCAUAAAUCGUUACAUUAUGAGGCAUCGUUUUGGUACUCAUAGUUCAGCUUAAUAGUCUAUCCCUAGCGGGAAACUCUAAAUGAAACAAAGAGUUUUGGCAUUCCGUAAGCGACUCAUCACUAGGAUUCGGUUUUAGCACACUGCUCGAGUGAUUGCAGACUUUGACUAGAGAUUUUCCAAAAAAAUUUCUCAUUCUUCAAGUCUUUCCUCAGGACUCCAUCUAUUUAACGUCUCCAAUAGUCGAAACAUUCAACUUUAGAUUCUUGAAUGAGAGACUCCUUUCACAUAACCUCUCCGAUGGUCGACAACUAAAAAUCUUUUUUCUUCCGAAUAAUAAUUUAAAGAACUUAAAUAUCCCCUGUGUAUCUGCAAUGAGAAUCCGAAUGAAAAUGAUUAUGGAAAUUGUCAUGUAGUGGUUUUGUGUUCCACACUGUCCUUGUGUCUUUUUCUGCUUCGUAUCUCAUUCGUUAGUUCUCUUUCUCUCCUCUUGUUGAUCUGGCGAGCGGUUCGCAAUCCAAUUGCUGUCGCGAAAGGACUGGCGUACCAAUAAACUGCAGGUUGUUUAGCUCCAAUACUGUCUACCGUUUUCGUCGAAUGUUUUUUGAAGAUUCGGAAGCGCGCUUUUACUGCAGUGGUGUUGGUGUUUGAACAUAGUUAGACAAGGCUAUGUCGUAUCCGGUUCCAAAUGUUGCAAAAGCUGCUGCAAGAUGUUUAUCCUCGUCUUUCGUCCAUCUACCUGUAAUGUAUGUACGGCUCCCAUUGCUUGUUCUUAUUCGCUUUGGGCGGGCUGUCUAGGAGGAAGGUCUCCUGACGGGGAUAAAUGUUGUUCGAUUUCUGAUAUUCAUUUUUGCAGAGAGCGUCGCGCUAUUCUGAGGUCGCUAGGUCGCAUGAAAUAUGGGUUGUGUAUGUGUAAUGUAAUGCUGUGGGUGGUAAUUCCUUCAAUACUUGCCGUAUUCGGCGUAUUUCUUCCCUAUUUGUUUGCAGUAUCUGAGUCUACUCGAAGAGUAAGUCGCUCACAGGCGUUAUGUAGAUCCCGCGCCCUUGGUAGUUCACUGGGCUUCAUAAUUUGUAGCAGGUAGAAAGAGGGAUCUUCACGCGCGCUACUUCACAUUUGAAGCUGUGAGAGCCUGCGUCUGAGGAGGAGUCCUACAAGCAACAUGCUUUUGUUGUUGUGUUGGAUGGUCCCAACCUGCAGAGUUGGUAGAUAAGUAAAUAUCGGCGUUAUUCUCUGCACGAAAUUUGGCUGGUCCAUCCGAUAUAUUUGUCCGCUUCUUGUUGUUCGCAUCGUAAAUGUUAAUACGGCAUCUUUCAGUCUCAUUUGGAAAUAUAUCCAUUCACGGAUGCUCGACUUGGCUUUGUGUGGGUUAUCCGUCACCUUGCGAUUUUGUGAAUCUUUUAAAUCUGAUUCCAACCGGUCCACAGAGCUUGUUAUUUUUUUUUCGCCAAGCGGAUGUGUGUCAUGCGUGUGUUUUUAUAACGUUUCAAAGAGAAAUAUGUCCUUUUUGUGACUGAAAUUUUUCUCAAAGGAUUUGAUGAUAAUUUUAAUUACUCAGUAAAUCAGAUUAUGUUAAAAACUCGUUUUCCUUUGUAUUUCCACUCCGUGGAUGCAUUUGAAUGUGUGAAAAAUAAGUCUUGCAACUGUGUGCUACAUGCGUACGUACAGAGGGAGGUUAAGCAGCGCUACAGUUAUUCCUUUGUACACUCUAGUCUACCCAACGCUCCUGAUAAGUUGUUGUAGAAUCGGAGUUGAAAGAUCAUCGCAUUUGUUAGUGAUGUAGCGCUUCCAGGGAUCGUAGCACUUCUUUGCAUAGUACACCGCAUGUGAUUCCCCGUGUGAUGAUCUAUAUUCUGAGGUAGUUGACUGGAGUUGUGUGUGAUGGUUCGGUGUUUUCAGAUGUGUAGAGUGCUGCUGGUUUAUUUUUGCAUAUGAGUUUUUGUGUCUUAUCAGUGUUGAGUCCGCCUCUCCAUUCGACUGACCAGAUUUCUGUAAGACGUAAUCUCAAUUCUCGAGAUGUUGUAUUUGAGUCUAUGAGUAGUAUAUCUACAGCGUACAAGAAAGUUUUCAAUUUUUUCAUGCCAUAUGUCCACCGUCUCCUAUCCGCUUGACAAAGUCGUUCAUGGACAUUGCAAAGAGCCAGGGUUAUAAGAUUUUUUCUAGUGGCACUAUAGUAAGAACAAGAAAUCUUUUAGUUCCUAUACGUUCUUCCAUUCGGGAUAGAUUGAGUUCUCAUAUUAGAUCUGCUAGUUAGGGGCAGUGGACUCUCAGGUAACUUGUGGCACGAUGGGCUACAAUUGCUCGAGACAUUCGGUCAAAUGCUUUAAUCAUCUGAAGAUAUUUCAUGUAAACACAUUUUCCUGUUGCUUCUGAGCCGUGAAAGGUGAGUUAAGUGAGUGAUAGCUGGCGUUUAAUGGACUUAAGAAAUCAGAAUCUUCCUUGUAAGCAAUGCAUUAUAUCAGGUUUAUUGAUUUUUGUCAGUUUGUAUAGUGACUUAGUAAUGAUUUUCUUAAGCAUCUUUUGGCUUGUCGGCAACACCAUGAGCGCUCGCAUAUUAAAUGGAGAUUUAAGAGCUUGUUUCUGAGAGAUUGCAACAAGGCGUGCUUCAGUGACUUGUUCGCAUCCAUUUUGAAGGAUGUAAUUAAAUGUUUUUUUAUUAUUUUCUAGCCCCGUGUUGCUGGUUUGCAAGGGUUCGACUGCUUCCGCUGAAAUAUAAUCUUCCCCAGGGGAUUUCUUUUAGCGUAGGUCUUUUAUUGCGUCUUUUAUUUCUUUUGCAAUGAGAUUGCGAUCUAGCUUUUGUUUGGAUCGUCGAGUGUGGACGUAUGUACUGAUAUCGGGUUCUGCUGUUUCUUCUGAUUUAAUGAGAUCUUAGGCUUUUGGUUCCUAAUCAGAGCAGUGCCUUACAUGGCUUCCAUAUACAUAAUUAUAUGCUGUUAAGAUUUCGCUGUCCGUUACGCUUAUCGUGCUGACUGCUGGGUAGUUUUCGAACUUUUCUCUCCCAUGCUUUCAUGCAAAAAUGUCUAAAGGCGGCUCUUAUUUUUAUUACUCUUACCAAUUGUUCUUGGCUUCCGUGUUGAAAGAUUUUGGUUUGACGUCUGAUUUUUCUGACGUUUUUUCUAGUACUGUGGGGUAGUUUAUUCUUAUUGCCGUGUUCAAUAAAUCCAACAUGUUCACAUCCUGCGUGUAUUAUUGCGUCGUCGAGUAGGGUGCCCCUUUUAACGAGUUUCUCGACUUCUUGUUAAAACGUUCUUCGUAUUUUGGGUGCGCAAAGGCGGACCCAAGCUAUUUCGUUUUUUAUAAUAAUUCGUUCAACUCUCACUCCCUCCUUAUACUCUAUGAUUAACCUUGCGUGUCUUUUACUCGGAAAUUGCAGAUUAGUACUUGUGCAAUUUAUUCAUCUAGUGAAGCGAAGAUCAAUAUUGGUUCCGGGCAGUCUUCUCGCAUCCAAUGGGUUUUCAUUCCAUCAUUGUUUAAUUUAAGGUUGCUGUUAUUUGCCAAUUACUUGAGAUAUUUGCAUCUCGGUUCUCCCUGAGGAAGAUUGAAGUCGCCUUUGCGAAGCAGGUAGGGGAUUUCGACAGUGUUUCAUAAAUGCUGGAAGGAAAUUUUUCUCUGAAUGGGAUGGUGUUUCUUUUAGCAUCAGCCGUUAUGCAUGUGAAGACAAAGUGAUAUGUUGCGGAUAGAUUCCAUGAUGCUAAUGACUAGCUGAGAUGCUUUUUCUGAUGAAGCUUUACUUUGAACGCUACUAACAGUGCUUCUUAGAGUAAGGCUCCAGAUCCUCCUUUUCAUUGCAGUAACAGUGCAGCCCAUUUAAAUUUACCUAAUGUAAUGACUUCAUGUUUGGAGUGGUGGCUUCUUUCCGCAAGGAAGCAUAUAUUGAUGUUUCUUCCAAGCAUCCAGUCAAUAAGAAUAACACAGUGUGCAGUGAUCACUUUCCUAUCGUUCACCAUGCCUAUACGCAGUUUACUUUGGACUGUAAUUUGAUUUGAGGUUGUUUAAAGUAAGAGAUUUUCUUUUGAGGGACAUUCGCGGAAGGUAGACUUUGUACGAACUACAGUAACAUACAUGCGACUCUGGCAUAAUUGUUUUUUACGUUGUCAUUUAAACGACUCGGGGAAAGGGGUUGGCACUAAAGCGAACAAAAAUAAGUCGGUGCUUGCAGUGUACAUGCGAGCUAGAAGAGGGCACCGAAGUUUUCAUGCAGCUCUGCAUCAUGCAUAUGCUAGGUGGCUGUGGUUCAUUUGCCUUUGAAAGAAGGCUGUUUUUAGCUUCAGUGUCAUUUUGACCGUUUCUAGAAAUCCUAUAAACAUUGUAAAGAGUUCCAAUCGGUGGACAAUCCAUAAUUCCACAUUUUGAGAAAAAAACUUUUAUUUAACACUAAUUUCAAUAUUAAAUCUACAAAAAUUUUAAAAAAAACUCAAAAACAACAAAAGUGCUUAUUCCAACACUUUUCGGACAUCAACAAGAUUUUCUUACGACUGAACUAAUUGUCCUAGACAGUCUACUUUUUUAAUCAUAAGAUUAGUGUCGAAAUUACAAUAAAAUUUAAAAACUCUUGCGCACCACGUAAAUGCAGAGGAGUUGGGGAUAUUUAAACGAUGAAUCUCUUAGGAUAUAAGUUAUACUACAAACGCUUUAAUAAAGCUUUAAAUGUUUUUUAAAACUAGAAAUAAAGUAAAAAUUGAAUUCAUUAAAAAUUUUUCAAUGUUGCACGAUUAUUCCAAUGUCUUUUUCAUGCUUUGUUUGUUAAUAUAUUAACCCUGAUAACCUUUUUCGCAGCACAAAUUAAAAAAAAAAGAAAGUAUUUUUUUUUAAAUAAUCAAAAUAUAA